rnacentral:rRNA from 1 species
AUUGAACGCUGGCGGCAGGCCUAACACAUGCAAGUCGAACGAGUGGCGGACGGGUGAGUAAUGUAUGGGAAACUGCCUGAUGGAGGGGGAUAACUACUGGAAACGGUAGCUAAUACCGCAUACUAUCUGAUGUACCCAUAUGGGAUUAGCUAGUUGGUGGGGUAACGGCUCACCAAGGCGACGAUCUCUAGCUGGUCUUAGAGGAUGACCAGCCACACUGGGACUGAGACACGGUCCAGACUCCUACGGGAGGCAGCAGUGGGGAAUAUUGCACAAUGGGCGCAAGCCGGAUGCAGCCAUGCCGCGUGGAUGAAGAAGGCCUUCGGGUUGUAAAGUACUUUCAGCGGGGAGGCGUUACCCGCAGAAGAAGCACCGGCUAACUCCGUGCCAGCCGCCGCGGUAAUAC